UGGGAGCUUGCUCCCUGAUGUUAGCGGCGGACGGGUGAGUAACACGUGGGUAACCUGCCUGUAAGACUGGGAUAACUCCGGGAAACCGGGGCUAAUACCGGAUGGUUGUCUGAACCGCAUGGUUCAGACAUAAAAGGUGGCUUCGGCUACCACUUACAGAUGGACCCGCGGCGCAUUAGCUAGUUGGUGAGGUAACGGCUCACCAAGGCGACGAUGCGUAGCCGACCUGAGAGGGUGAUCGGCCACACUGGGACUGAGACACGGCCCAGACUCCUACGGGAGGCAGCAGUAGGGAAUCUUCCGCAAUGGACGAAAGUCUGACGGAGCAACGCCGCGUGAGUGAUGAAGGUUUUCGGAUCGUAAAGCUCUGUUGUUAGGGAAGAACAAGUGCCGUUCAAAUAGGGCGGCACCUUGACGGUACCUAACCAGAAAGCCACGGCUAACUACGUGCC
rnacentral:rRNA from 1 species